AUUUAGUUAUAUGACUGACGGAAUUUAUGUGGAAGAACCACGUGGAGUAUAACAUCAGGCAGUUUUUAACUGCUGGGAAAGGCAAUGUCUCUUCGGGACAUCGCGGCAACGAUUCAUAGAAACGUUGCAAUUGCCGACCGUCUGGGCAACCUGC
rnacentral:ncRNA from 2 species